rnacentral:rRNA from 1 species
GGGAAUGGGGAGCCUACCAUGCAAGUCGAACGGCAGCACAGGAAGUACCUUGCUCGUCGUGCGGAUGGCCAAGGCGUAAGUGUGAUGAAUACAUCUGACUCUACUCUGUCGUGGGGGAUAACGUAGGGUAACUUACACUGCUACCGCACACCACCUAAAGGUGAGAGCUCGGGAUAUUCUGACCUUGCGCGAUUGAAUGAGCCGAUGUCGCGAUUAGCUAGUUGGCGGGGUAAAGGCCCCCACGGCGACUAUCCGUAUCUGGACUGAGAGGAUGAUCAGCCACACUGAAACUGAGACACGAUCCAUACUCCUACCGGAGGCAGCGAUGGGGAAUAUUGGACAAUGGGCGCGAUCCUGAUCCAGCCAUACCGCGAGGGUGAACAACGCCUUCUGGUUGUAAAGCCCUUUUGUUGGGAAAGAAAUCCUUCUGGCCUCAUACCCGGUUGGGAUGACUGUACCCUAAGAAUAAGCACCGGCUAUGUUCGUGCCAGCAGCCGCGGUAAUACUACGGGUGCUAGCGUUACUCACAGUUACUGGGCGUAGCGCAUGCGUAUGUGAUCGUUUAAUUCCAUUGUGAAAACCCUGGGCUCAACCUGGGAACUGCACUGGAUACUGGGCGACUAUAAUGUGGUAGAGGGUAUCCGAAUUCCUGGUGUAACUGUGAAAUGCUUAGAGAUCACGACGAUCAUCCAUGGCGAAUGCUGCUACCUGGAUCAACACUGACACUGAAGCACUAAGCGUGAGCAGCAUUAGGAUUCUAGACCCUGGUAGUCCACACGAUGUCGAUGCCAACUGGAUGUUGGGUGCCUUUGUCACGCAGUAUCGAAGUCUAACUCGACAACUUCGGCACCCGGGGAGUACGGUCACAAUACUGAGACUCGACGGAGUUCACGCGCACCCGCACAUGAUGUGGAUUAUGUUGUUUUAAUUCCCAUGCAACCCUAACAACCCUACCUGUGCUUGGAAUGUCGAAAACUUUUCGGAGAUGGUAUUGGUGCCAUCCGGAAACUCGGAUCCUGGGUGCUUGAUGGCUGCCCUCGCCUCGGGACGGUGGGAUUUAGGGCCUACAUCCAGCCACAACCCUGACCCUUGUUCUUACUUAGCGGCACUUAAUGGUGCUACCCGUAGCAAACCGCAGGAAGACAAGCAUAGGAAAGGUGGCGUAUACCUCCAUUCGUCUAGGGCCUUAACGGCCAGGCAUACCUCCUUUACUAAAGGGGUAGGAACCAAGGCGGGGAACCGGGGCCAGGUAACGCCAAAAUUCCAAAAACCCAUUCCCCUUCCGGAAUUGGAAUUUGGAACU